UACGAAGGGGGCUAGCGUUGUUCGGAUUUACUGGGCGUAAAGCGCACGUAGGCGGAUCGUUAAGUCGGGGGUGAAAUCCUGGAGCUCAACUCCAGAACUGCCUUCGAUACUGGCGAUCUCGAGUCCGGAAGAGGUGAGUGGAACUCCUAGUGUAGAGGUGGAAUUCGUAGAUAUUAGGAAGAACACCAGUGGCGAAGGCGGCUUACUGGUCCGGUACUGACGCUGAGGUGCGAAAGCGUGGGGAGCAAACAGG
rnacentral:rRNA from 1 species